ACGGGUGCGUAACGCGUGGGAAUCUGCCCUCAGGUAUGGAAUAACUCAGGGAAACUUGAGCUAAUACCGUAUAAUGACUUCGGUCCAAAGAUUUAUCGCCUGAGGAUGAGCCCGCGUCGGAUUAGCUAGUUGGUGGGGUAAAGGCCUACCAAGGCUACGAUCCGUAGCUGGUCUGAGAGGAUGAUCAGCCACACUGGGACUGAGACACGGCCCAGACUCCUACGGGAGGCAGCAGUGGGGAAUAUUGGACAAUGGGCGAAAGCCUGAUCCAGCAAUGCCGCGUGAGUGAUGAAGGCUUAGGGUUGUAAAGCUCUUUUACCCGGGAUGAUAAUGACAGUACCGGGAGAAUAAGCCCCGGCUAACUCCGUGCCAGCAGCCGCGGUAAUACGGAGGGGGCUAGCGUUGUUCGGAAUUACUGGGCGUAAAGCGCACGUAGGCGGCUUUGUAAGUUAGAGGUGAAAGCCCGGGGCUCAACUCCGGAAUUGCCUUUAAGACUGCAUCGCUAGAAUUGUGGAGAGGUAAGUGGAAUUCCGAGUGUAGAGGUGAAAUUCGUAGA
rnacentral:rRNA from 1 species